CAGUCGCCGCGGGAAUACGUAGGGUGCAAGCGUUAAUCGGAAUUACUGGGCGUAAAGCGUGCGCAGGCGGUUAUAUAAGACAGAUGUGAAAUCCCCGGGCUCAACCUGGGAACUGCAUUUGUGACUGUAUAGCUAGAGUACGGCAGAGGGGGAUGGAAUUCCGCGUGUAGCAGUGAAAUGCGUAGAUAUGCGGAGGAACACCGAUGGCGAAGGCAAUCCCCUGGGCCCGUACUGACGCUCAUGCACGAAAGCGUGGGGAGCAAACAGGAUUAGAUACCCGUGUAGUCCCUGUCUCUUAUAC
rnacentral:rRNA from 1 species